rnacentral:lncRNA from 1 species
GCAGCUUGUGUAUAUUCCCUGCAGCUUCGUUGCAGAGAACCUUGGGGAGUUCGUUGUAGUCACAUGACUUCGGGGAGUUGUUGCCGUAGGGCGUAGGCCCGAAGGCCGGUGUAGAUCUGCCGGCGACCCCCGCGGAGAGGGCUCCAUAACAUCAUGAGAACUACAAGGGAAAAAUACAUCCUGAAUCACAUAUCACAUAUACACAGAUAAAAGAGAAAAAAAAACUUCAGACAAGUUUGUACC